GUCGUGAAUGUCUUCAAUGGUAAGAGAGAAGUUCCGAUCAGUGCUUCUCCUCCUACCGCUGCUUCCUUUCUUCUUGAGAGAGUGUCUCAGUUUGCUUGAAGCUUUGGCUGCUUUCUUCUUAAAGGUGCCGAUUCUUGUUCUCUUCUCUUCCUCUGAAACUUCGAAGUCUGAUCUCCGUUCUCUUCUCUCAUCAUUGCUUGAACACCCUUCGAAACCUGAACAAUCAACUCACAAACUCAAUUCACAAUUCGAAUUCUGUAAAAUUCAAAACCGCGAUCAUCGGUGGGGAUAACGAUGAGAUAUUUCUUACAAGGUCUGGCGAAAUCGAGAGGGCCUGACAUGAGGAGACACGAAUCCCGAGAACUUGGGAUUGCGGCAGCCGAGAGAGAGAGAGAGAGAGAAGCGAUCGGAGAGAAAUUGAAAGAGACGUAAGAGGGAGAAGAAGUAAAGUGUUCGGUUUUAAUAUGAUUAAAUGUGUGUGUUUAGUGCAUCCACGCGAUAAACAGCUGUAUUAAGCAACUCUUCUUUCUCCCUAGGCAUCUCAUGUCGCUUUGAGUGCAGUGUCUCCACUUGUUUCUCAAGAUCUCCUAGUCUGUUCACAACAGAAGCCACGAGGUUUCUCUCUCUGACAGUUGAAUAAACCGGUGAAGGAGGACGAGACUCUCUAGCGAUUGGUUCAUCAACUGAAGAUUCUGACUGAGAAUGUUCUUUACUCUUUGGCAGAGCCACCGCAGAUACCAGAAACGUAAACAAUGUGGCUAGCCACCUCAAGAUAUGACUAACCGGUCCUAACUUUCCCAAACCGGGUGACUCCUUGGGGCCUGCACCAACAACAUUCCACUACAGUGAAACUUUGCAUUACAUAUCUUAGCAUUUGGUUUUAACUAUUUUACCUUGUGGAGUUUUUGGCUUCUCAUUAGCCAUCCAAGCAACAUCCACAACUUUGUCCACCAUUGGUGAGUCAUACUCUGAAGAGUCAGUAGGAUAUGAUCUACUAUUGGUCCUAAUCUGCAACUAAGGUCAGAUAUUAUUUAAACAAACAAAAAAAGGUCAGAUAUUCAAGUAAAGUGUUAUUUUGAACUGCAAACUGUAGUUUUAGGUACAAAAAAACUCUUACAUCUUCACAAACAGGAGUCAACUUUGGAACAUGACUCUCCUUGUUUGCUUUUGGAGAAGCCAUCUCUUCUAAUUCAGAGCUUGAUUCCGCUGUUGAGGUGUCACUAACUUUAAUCUGAGCCAAAGUGGACAAAUACUGUACGCUAAGAAAUUAUCAAAUACAUGUUUAAUUAGCAUCCAAGUAAAGACUAUUACCCCGGGAAAAGGUGGCUUAUCACAUGAGUUCAUCCGGGAACCACUGUUUAGAAUAGAUGCAUGUCUGCAGAGGGUUCCACCACUUUGAACCAUCUACAAGUGGGAGAUCAGUUAGAUACAUAGCUUACUCUAUUUUUGUGUUAAUCUGAGUAACCAAACACACAGAGUAAACAAUAAGUUGUGGAAGGUUGAUUUACAGUUAAUAUCUCUGGGUCUUUCCAGGGACCUUUAUCAGAUCUCAUACAGCCACCUUCAUCAGCACAUGUGCAAGUGCCGCCAAGAAAAUCUGGCAGCUGACUGAACAAGUUCCAAAUAUGAAUAGGGAGUUAAACCAUGUUUUGGAGUCUUGAGAAGCAAACAAGAAGAAAGCUGAGGGCUGAGAAUUAUUUACCUUGCAUCAAUGAUCUCAAGUAACUUGUUCUGGUACUUGUUACCAACAACCUAUCAGAAGAACACAUGGACACCAGUUUAUGGCAUGAUACUAACAUAAUAUUUCAUAUAACGUGUGGAUAUGUAAUAAAUGUGUUAAAAGAAAGGUAGUUUUACAUGGAUCUUUGUUACUGUUUUUGGAUCAAGAAAUGAUUUCACUGAUCCCCAAAGUAGCUUAAAACCAGGACCAGCAUUGAUGAUGAACAUGCGUUGUAGUGUCUGCAUAUCACAUGGUUUAUAUUAUUAAUCACAACCAACCAACCACACACACACACAUUUUGUUAAGGAAACUAAUAGCAGCCAGCUCAAACCUCAGGGUAGUUAUCAUUAUCAAUCUUUUGCAGCUGGAUUAUGAGAUCCCUCGCAGGCUUCGAGAAGUUCUUUAAACCCUGCAAAACAUAAUUUUAAAAAUUGAAAAGUAAGCAAGGACAUUAGUAACACUAAACAAGGUAAAAAAAAAAGUAGUUUUUUUUUAAGUACCACGCCUUGAACGUCAAGAAUGGUGGUGCUAGAGUCAAUGUGUCUCUUAGCAGCAAUGCAGCAAGCAGGAAACUUGAUACUAACAGUCUUCUCAAACUCUCGAACAUGAUACCUUAUGUAUCUCUCUAAUGUGGUGGCUUGAAUGAGUUUUGCCGGAUCGACUUUCCCUAACCUCUCAAUGUAAACAGGUCUUCCUUCUUUGUCAACACCAUGAUAGCCUUGAGGGUAGUAUCUGAGAACCUCAUCCACCUCUUGAAACUCAAAAUCCUAGAACACAAAUACAUAAAUAAAUAAAUAACUCUCAUCAGACAAACACGCAAAUAACACUUAAUGUUAAAAUCAUUACCUCGACAAUAGUGUCUGUACCAAACUCUUGUCUCCACUGAAUCAUGUUACUCCACAUCAGUUUGGUUUUCCCAACGUCAAACUUCCUCGCUUUCAGGAACCUGCAACAUGAUCUCAUCAUCAUCUAGGAGUGUUAACUUGUAUCCGAUCUGAGCUAAAAAUAACUUGUAUCCGAUCCAAGCUAAGAAAAAUAUCUGAAUGAAUAUCCGAACUCGAAGUGUUGUUAAUUAAACCCAAAAAAGUCCGAGAAUCCUAACCUAAAAAUCCGAAUAAGCAGUCAAAAUAAGUAUCUAAAAUGUAUGUUUAUAUGAUAUCGGAAAUGUUCGAACCCAAAAUGAAUUCAAAUAAAAAAAUGAGUUUUAGAUAGAAAUAAUUUUUUUUUUACCAAACAGGAAAAUAUUGUUAUCCGAACCCCGACCAAAACAUAUAUAAAACCUGAACGAGGUCUGAGAGGCUAAACUCGGAAAACAUGAUUGGAACAGAUACCCGAACACACUCAUGCCUAUACAAUGAAAAUCUAGAGAGAGAGAGAGAUGACCUCAACAUGAUGUGAUAAUCAUCAAGCUUUGGAGGAAGUAGAUUCUCAGAGAGGAGUAGACUCCUUAACUCAUCAACAGCUCGCAGUUCCUCAACGUCGUGAAUGUCUUCAAUGGUAAGAGAGAAGUUCCGAUCAGUGCUUCUCCUCCUACCGCUGCUUCCUUUCUUCUUGAGAGAGUGUCUCAGUUUGCUUGAAGCUUUGGCUGCUUUCUUCUUAAAGGUGCCGAUUCUUGUUCUCUUCUCUUCCUCUGAAACUUCGAAGUCUGAUCUCCGUUCUCUUCUCUCAUCAUUGCUUGAACACCCUUCGAAAC
rnacentral:lncRNA from 1 species